CAAGGAAGGAUUUCCUGAGCACGUGUUGCCUGUGAACUGCCCCACAGGGUGCCUGGCACUGCUGGCCUUCUGCAGUGAUCUGUGAUGCCAAACCUCUUAGUGGUGAUCAAAGCAAGUGGUUUGGACCCUUCCAAAGACCACACUCUUCAGUUCGUGGUAAGGAUUAUUCUGAACAAAAACAACAACAACCAAUCCAAAAACCAGCAAAUAGAAACCACCAAAAAAAAAAAAAAAAAGAAGCAAAAAAACCUUUUUCUUGGAUUUUAAAAACCAAUUCAAAACUAUUUAUUACUAUUAUUUUCCCCCAGCCUAGAGGCUCCUGCCCCUCUCAGCAUGCCUGGAUCCCUAAGAUCAGUGAGGUUUCCAGACUUCCUCCCUCUUUUUGUCCUGCACGAGAGCGCUUUGCUAGGCGCGCAAGUGUGCGUGUGAGGAGCGGAGAGCAGCGCCGGGAGGGAGAUUGGGACAAUAGCUGGAGUGGAUUAUUCAUUCCCGUAGGGCAAUACUUCCCUGUAUGGGCUCCAGGAUGCAGUUGGAAGCUUGGGAACAAAGCGGGCAUCGAAUGUCAAGGGUCCUUUUGA
rnacentral:lncRNA from 1 species